rnacentral:lncRNA from 1 species
UAUGCUCACUGGCAUAACAUGAAUAAUGAAAGAAGGGAAACUGAUCCUAAAACAUCUCAUAGCCUCCUGCACAUAAAUGUGGUGCACAACACACCCAUGUACAAGACUCUACUUGAUGUAGCUUUUAAAUUUCCUAGGACACUGUUAAAUGUUAGGCUCUGAUACCAAGUUUAUAACACCUCAAAUCUGAUACCCAUAAUGCUAUAUGGUACUUAUGACCCUG